CCCACCGAAGCCUCAAAACCCCUCUCUUCUUCUUCGUUUUCUUCUCUAGCGGCGACAAACGGCAGAUUUUUUUUCUCCCGUUCUUCUUCUCAAGCAGCCCUCGUUUUCUCCUCCCGCACCUCUUCUCCUCCUCCAGCAAGGGCAGAGCACUGUUUUCUCCUUUGCUUCCUCUUCUCUGCUUCUCGGCAGCACUGUUGGAGCUCCUCGGAGUUCGCCGGAGCUCGCCAAACCACCGGAAGAAGAGAGGAAACAAAACCCUAGUUGCUCUCUCCUUUUUCCCCACCAACAGCAGCAUUUUUUGCUGCAUUUUGUUUCCUCCAACAGCAGCCCUAGCUGCUGCCCUAUUCUUGGCAGUACCGUUGGAGUUCGCCGGAGCUCGCCGGAGCUAGUUGAGGUGGCCAACGACAAAGGGAAAGCAACCCUAGUUGCUGUCCUCAUUUCCAGCAGCCACACAAAACCCUUAGAAGAUCCGAGCUCGAGUGGAGCACGGUGACCUGCCGAUACUCGGAGAUUUUUUGCUGUAUAUAAGUUUUGCAGACACAGGGAUCCUUUUGAUAUUACUGUUGAUUUUGGACUUUCGUAGAGUUG